CCCAGGCAGGGGAAACCGGAGACCCCGCGGCUGCGGCUGGGAGGGCGGCCCCAGACUGGGCUGGGCUAGAUGGGGUACUGGGUGGGCUCCUGCCUCCUUAUAGAACCCCUCCAGUCCGCUAACGCACCGCGGGAUCGAACUGUGGCUUCCAGCCCUGAGCUCCCUCCCUUAUCACCUGUUGCUUCCUCAGGCCUCCUGGCCUCUGAGAUUUCCCCUACCUUCACUCUAGACCUUCAGUCCUUCAGAGUACAUCUCUUGGCAUCCGAAGGAAGCUGGAUAACUGAGUACCUUCCUUGGCACAGGGGAAGAAAGAGAGACUUGGGGGGUGUCUCCCCAGCAAGCUCUGACCUGAGCUACUACACAGGCCAGUUUCCGAGGUAUUUGGGGGCAGGAGAGGACCCACCGACAGAGGACCAGGCCUAGGCAUUCACUGGAGCACUUUCCCUGAAGCCCAGAGAGAAGCAGGCUCCUAGCGGAGGAGCCUGAUGCGGGGCUCGAUUCCAGAACGCCGGGAUCACUCCCUGAGCCGAAGGCAGACACCUAACAACUGAGCCACCCAGGUGCCCCAGUUACACACAUAUCCUGAUCAAGUCAACAAAGUCCCAGCUCUGCUAGUACUCAAAUUCCAGACAAGAGGUAGCAGUUGAACAUACAAGAUAGAGAAAGAAUAAUUGAUAGGUGUAUAAUCAGCCACCCCUCACAACGCUGGUGCAGCAGCUCUUUCUGCC